AUGACACACAAGUUUCAUUUAAAUGCACAUAAUAUAUAUCCGAAAAUCAAAGUUCAAACAGAUGAGAAUAAUCAUCACGAAUAUGAACGAAGUUAUGCAAAAAAAGUAGCUGAAUGGCAAAAAAAUGAUAAUUCAAUAUUAUUCCCUAGAGAUAAUUUUAGUUCAGAAAUUGGAAAAAAACAAAAAGUAAAAAAUAGUCGACAAAUAUCAGCACCAACAAAUGAAUCUGACAUAGAUUAUUUAAACAAAGUUAUUGAUAACGUGAUAAAAAGUAGAAAUAACGAAAACUACGUUAAAAUUAAAGGUGCUCGCAAUUUGCAUAAUUAUGAAGAAGAUAAAUAUUCAAAAACAAAAAGAUCUUUUAUGAGACCUAAUAUAAAAAUAAACUCAGAAACUAUAAAUGACAACAUCGAAAUGUAUGGCAUAAAUAAACCAAUACUACGAUAUAAUAAUGAUGAAAGUGAAAUAGAACACAGAAAUAUUAGAAAGCGUAUGAAAGAACAUUAUACAAACAAUGUUCAAAAUGCACAUGUAAAUCUAGAUGAUUUAAAUUCAUAUAAAAAUUUGACGAUAAAUAAAAAACAAUUUUUAACAUUACUCAAUAAAAGCAAGCAUAAAAAUUUAUUUAAAAGAGUUUACCAUAAAGUUAAGAAGAAUAAAAGCUUGAAAUGGACUAUUGGCGUUUUAUUGGGUGCAGUUUUAUUAACACUUGCUACUCCUUUUUUAUGUAUUAGUUAUAUAUAUAUGAGCUUAAAGUUAAAAUAUGAUGGAGUAACUGAUGCUAUAGAUUAAAGCACCCUUUAAGAUUACAAUUAAAGAAAACCAUGAGUAGUAUAGCUUUAUGUAUAAUUAUAUUAUUAUUAUUAUUUUUUAUUUUUUUUUUUUUAUUAGUAAUUAUGUGUUGUCAAUUUAGUUUAAUACUUUAGUGUAGUUCGUAAUUGCAUAUGUAUGUAUUUUAUUAUAUUUUUUAUCAAUUUUUUUUUUUUUUUUUUUUUUUUAAAUAUAUACGCUAUAUAGAUACAUUCGUUAUUUUAAAAAUUAUCAAUGUUUACAUUUUUGUGUAGUUUAAAAUUUUCUAUUAUCAUUUAUUAUGUAUUCUUUUGUAUUUGUUUGUGUGUCAAGUAUAUAUAGUUCGUUUAUAUUAGGCGCAUGAAAAACUAUAUUUUAAUGCUUCUGUUAUUUUCCAAUUUUAUUUGGCAAUAUACAACUUCCAGCGUG
rnacentral:lncRNA from 1 species